UGAUAGCUUCUUGCUCUAUCUAUUCCGCAGGGAAUACCAGCGUUUCACACGCCCUCAUCUGCAUUCUGCAACAUGGACUAAAAUGUUGCCAUUGUAACUUCCAAAAAAGAUGCCGCCAAACGCGGAGGAAUGGUUGGCUGUACGAGAGGGAUUUAAGGAAAACAUCCCACAUUGCGUUGUUUUUUGGGAUAGAAAGCACAUCGUUAUUCAAGUACCAUUUCAUAGUAGUUUCGAGUAUUUUAACUACAAGAAGUCUUUCAAUAUUGUUUUGCUGGCAUUAGUCAAUAGUAAUUAUCAGUAGGUACAUGUUUGCUGAAAUGGAGCCAAGGAGGAAUCAGUGAUGGUGUUUUCAUGGACAGUUUAUUGUGAAAAAAUGUGUGAUUGUUAAAUGAAUUUACCUCCAGCGUCCCCAUUCAACCAAGCCUGUACCGUAUGUAAUUUGAGAAGAUUGCAAGUUUGCCCUCAGUUGCACAAUCAUUAAGUCUUAUCCUGGAAACCACGAAGCUGGUUCAAGAACGGAUUUUUAAUAGGAGGCUGUCCUGGAAAAGUAAAAUCGUUUGACAUUUCAGUCAUAUUCAACUGUGCAUGCACUCAGCAAACAAACAAACACACUUCACCACAUCACCUGCUGCGGACACGAGCGUACCAGACAGUGUGGAUGAUGUAUUCGUGCAUGCUAGCCUAGCCACUCGGCACACCAACCGAAACAAUUGGAGCGUUAGCGAGCCGAGCCAUCUCGAGCGGCGGCGAAACAACCUUCAAAACUCUCACGUUCGUCUUUGUUCGUCAGGCUCGGCGAGCCUUAAAAUUAUGUGACGAACAAGAUAUUUAAUGUAGAGAUUGGAUAUAUUACAAUACAUUUUGUAUUAAAAUAAACCAUAAUUUGUUUGGUGAUAAAACUAUUUAAACUUGUGUAUAAUAAAAAGCUUAAAUUUAGAAACACAAUACAGAAAUAGAAUUUUCAGCUAGAUGUAACUAUAAUAAAAUUUUACAUAUGAUAAAAUAUUUAGGCUACUAUAAAACAUGUUACAAAAAUCGAUAUAAGAAUUCAAGUAUUUGAAUUUCUAUUGAAAUAGGCCUAAACGCUCUCAAUUAAUAUUAAUUACUUAUAGUAGUAAAAGACAUUGUUUUGUCAAAGCCAACGAGAUUAAUAUCAACAAAGCAUGGGGGAAAUUAGUUCUAAUUGUUAAAAAUAAAUUAAAAGACACACACAAUUAAAUUAUCAUAAAGUAAAAUACUGAGGAAAGUAGUUAUAAGUAAUUUCAAAAUGUUUUGAAGCAGCCUUUGUAUACUACAAACAAUACAAGUAGUAGUUUUGGUUAUACCAAUAAAACUAGAUUACCGUAGUCUGUCAGAAAAAAUGUUUAUACAAGUUUAUAUAGCUACCAAACACAACAUAAUAUUAAGUAAUUAUGAAAAAUACCUUAACUUUGAAAGUUUCUUUGGUAGUUUAUCAGAUAAGGUUAAGCAGUUAGCCUCACAUCUCUUUUUUAUACCUCGAAUGGCAUUUUUAAAUGUUUAGCAAGAUAAAAUAUUGUACCGGUAUUCAUUUUAGUUCUUUUAGUCAAAAUUUAGUUAAUUCUUGUACUUUUUGGAUACAUUUAUUUUACUCAUUGUAGCACAAGUUAUUCAUGAAUUUUCUAAAGAUAAAGUAAUAAAUAAAAAUGAAAAUUUGGAAUUUAUAUAAUAUACAUGUAAAUGUUAGCAUUCAAUAGUCAACAAUAUUGUAAAAUUGUAAAUAAGGAGUAUUCUUAAUAAUUUAUAGACAGCUGAUCUUAAUUAAUCAUAAAUGGCCUACCAUGACUCCUCUUUGUAUUGUACCCAAUAUACCCAUGUAUAUAUUAGCAACAUUUAAUUUAUUUACAAUCUGUUCGAUUUGAGAAGAACAAUAAGUAAAUAUUAUAUACAGAAGUAUUGACAAUUAAAAUUGUGAUAUAAAUAUGAAUCAAUGUGCCAGUUACCAUACGUGGUGUGGGUUAACCAGGCUUUUUGGAAAAUUAUGACAACAGUUGGAAUAUGUUUAAUCUUAAACUAUUCUCCCAAGCCACAGUUAAAGAGUGAGGUAAAAGAAAGCCUAAAGCUGCCUGAAUUUUCAAGAUUUAAACAAACCAGGUUUUUUAAAAUUGUAUCCUUGCUGUGUUAAGAUGUUUUGAAUCCUGUUUUUACAAGAAAUAACCCCUAAAUAAGUGUAUUAAACCUGUUUGUGUUAGUAAGCUUUGGCAAUGAACAGAAUUCAUACUAAACGGGUAAAAAAUUUCAAGGACAUCAAGCUAAAAGUGAAUAUUUACUAAGCCUUAAAAGUAUAUAUUUAAGAAGCAUUUCUGCUAAAGCU
rnacentral:lncRNA from 1 species